AAAGGUUUGGUCCUGGCUUUUUUAUUAAUUAUAAGCAAAAUUAUACAUGCAAGAGUCAUCAUACCUGUGAGAAUGCCCUACAAAUCUUCACAGAUCCAAAGGAGCUGGUAUCAAGCACACUAACAGUAGCUCAUAACACCUUGCUUUGCCACACCCCCACGGGACACAGCAGUAAUCAAAAUUAAGCCAUAAACGAAAGUUUGACUAAGUUAUGCUAUAUUUAUACAAGGGUUGGUAAAUCUCGUGCCAGCCACCGCGGUCAUACGAUUAACCCUAAUUAAUAAAACCCGGCGUAAAGAGUGUUAAAACUAAACAAAAAUAAGAUUAAAUUCUGCCUAAGUCGUAAAAAACAUCAGGCAAAAAUAAAUCCAUUGACGAAAGUAAUCUUAACAAACAUAAGACACUAAAGCUGAAACCCAAACUGGGAUUAGAUACCCCACUAUGUUCAGCCAUAAACACAAAUAUUUUAGUAACAAAAAUAUUCGCCAGAGAACUACUAGCAACAGCUUAAAACUCAAAGGACUUGGCGGUGCUUUAAACCCAUCUAGAGGAGCCUGUUCUAUAAUCGAUAAACCCCGAUAAACCUUACCACUUCUCGCUAAUUCAGUCUAUAUACCGCCAUCUUCAGCAAACCCCACAGGGUAAUAAAGUAAGCACAACUAUCAUCAUAAAAACGUUAGGUCAAGGUGUAACCAAUGAAGUGGAAAGAAAUGGGCUACAUUUUCUUUCACAAGAACACAUAAAACAGUAAUCUUUAUGAAAACCAAAGAUUUAAGGAGGAUUUAGUAGUAAAUUAAGAACAGAGAGCUUAAUUGAACUAGGCCAUAAAGCACGCACACACCGCCCGUCACCCUCCUCAAAUAUAAACUCAAAUUUACAUAAUUUCAAAAUACAAGAGGAGACAAGUCGUAACAAGGUAAGCAUACUGGAAAGUGUGCUUGGAAAAA
rnacentral:ncRNA from 1 species